rnacentral:rRNA from 1 species
AUGCCAGAUUUUCUCCAUGUCAUCCCAGUUGCUUACGAUACCGUGCUCAAUCGGGUACUUGAGUGUGAGGAUACCUCUCUUGGACUGCGCCUCAUCACCAACAUAAGCAUCCUUCUGCCCCAUCCCUACCAUGACACCAGUGUGCCGUGGGCGACCAACUAUGCUAGGGAAAACAGCCCUUGGUGCAUCAUCUCCAGCGAAACCAGCCUAGACGAUAAUAAACCACAAGAAAAUGACGUGUUAACAGAUGCAGGAGAUGACAUGUUAAAAGAUGCAGGAGAUGACAUAUCACAUAUGUAA